rnacentral:rRNA from 1 species
ACGAACGCUGGCGGCGCGCUUAACACAUGCAAGUCGAACGGAAAGGCCUGCUUUCCCUUGUGGAUUGCGGGUACUCGAGUGGCGAACGGGUGAGUAACACGUGAGUGAUCUGCCCCCAACUUGGGUAUAAGCCUGGGAAACUGGGUCUAAUUCCCGAUAGGACUGCAGGGUGGUGCCUGUGGUGGAAAACGAUUUUCUAGUGGUUGGGGAUGAGCUCGCGGCCUAUCCGCUUGUUGGUGGGGUAAUGGCCUACCAAGGCGGCGACGGGUAGCCGGCCUGAGAGGGUGGACGGCCACAUUGGGACUGAGAUACGGCCCAGACUCCUACGGGAGGCAGCAGUGGGGAAUAUUGCACAAUGGGCGGAAGCCUGAUGCAGCGACGCCGCGUGGGGGAUGACGGCCUUCGGGUUGUAAACUCCUUUCGACCGCGAGGAAGCCACCUGGUUGGAAGGGUGGUGACGGUAGUGGUAAAAGAAGCACCGGCUAACUACGUG